rnacentral:rRNA from 1 species
GACGAACGCUGGCGGCGUGCUUAACACAUGCAAGUCGAACGGAAAGGCCUCUUUCGGGGGGUACUCGAGUGGCGAACGGGUGAGUAACACGUGAGUAACCUGCCCUUGACUUUGGGGUAACUUCAGGAAACUGGGGCUAAUACCGGAUAGGAGCUCCUGCGGCAUGGUGGGGGUUGGAAAGUUUCGGCGGUUGGGGAUGGACUCGCGGCUUAUCAGCUUGUUGGUGGGGUAGUGGCUUACCAAGGCUUUGACGGGUAGCCGGCCUGAGAGGGUGACCGGCCACCUUGGGACUGAGAUACGGCCCAGACUCCUACGGGAGGCAGCAGUGGGGAAUAUUGCACAAUGGGUGGAAGCCUGAUGCAGCAACGCCGUGUGCGGGAUGACGGCCUUCGGGUUGUAAACCGCUUUCGCUCAUGACGAAGCUUUGUGUGCCGGUAGUGGGUAAAGAAGCACCGGCUACCUCCGG